ACGAACGCUGGCGGCGUGCUUAACACAUGCAAGUCGAGCGGAAAGGCCCUGCUUUUGUGGGGUGCUCGAGUGGCGAACGGGUGAGUAACACGUGAGUAACCUGCCCUUGACUUUGGGAUAACUUCAGGAAACUGGGGCUAAUACCGGAUAGGAGCUCCUGCUGCAUGGUGGGGGUUGGAAAGUUUCGGCGGUUGGGGAUGGACUCGCGGCUUAUCAGCUUGUUGGUGGGGUAGUGGCUUACCAAGGCUUUGACGGGUAGCCGGCCUGAGAGGGUGACCGGCCACAUUGGGACUGAGAUACGGCCCAGACUCCUACGGGAGGCAGCAGUGGGGAAUAUUGCACAAUGGGCGGAAGCCUGAUGCAGCCACGCCGCGUGCGGGAUGACGGCCUUCGGGUUGUAAACCGCUUUCGCCUGUGACGAAGCGUGAGUGACGGUAAUGGAUAAAGAAGCACCGGCUAACUACGUG
rnacentral:rRNA from 1 species